UCUUGGUCAUUUAGAGGAAGUAAAAGUCGUAACAAGGUUUCCGUAGGUGAAGUUAACGCACGUUUGCCUACGGAAGCUGAGCAGGUCGACUCUAAACAACUGCGCGAGUCUGCCCUUUGGUUAGGGCGGGCGACGCCGUCAACCUGGGCUGGAAGAUCCUUCGGGCGCAACCAGCAGCUCCUCGGAGUUCACAGAUCAAACGUCGGCGGCCACCUCCCCGUGGUUCAGAUAUGACCGGCCCCAGCUCUCAUCGGCUGGCGA
rnacentral:rRNA from 1 species